GAUCUAUUGUGGAAACUAUGAAGUCACGUAAAAUAGACUCACUUGAGAGAGAAUCAGGCUGGCAGAGGUGGUCACCAACAACUUGGAGAAGUGAAGCAAAGACAUCCAAAGCUGCAAAAUACACUGAAAUCCAUCUUGGGAGAAGAAUAUCCUGGUGUCUGGUAGGGUGGCUUUUUAUUUUCUACUUUUCAGUGAUACCGUGUUUUUCCUUUCAUGUUUUGAUUUGACCAGCACUUACUGGGUCUCUCCUCCUGUGUCCCAGCGCUCUGCCAGGGUACCAAGCAUAAUCGGUCUUGGACCUUUCCUAGAAAGAGCUUAGAGGGUGAGAGGGUGGGAGCUGGGAGAAAGAUGGAGCACAGGCAGAAAUGGGACAGGUAUAACAGUUAUCACGGGGAUGUGAGAGUGUUGGAGGAACUGGUCAGGGAACAUUGUAAUUCCACUCAGGUCACGGUGAUUCUUCUAUAGCCCCGCUCCCCCUCUGGCAGCAGCAAAGGAGGCGGACAAGCCAGGAACACCCAGGAAGGCAGGGUCACCAUUGCCUAGGAGGCGUGUUGGUGUCCCCAGAGCAGCGUUCUGGGGGUGCGGUCCCACUGUUCCCCACGUGGAUUCAUCAGUGUGGGAAUGACGCUUCCCCAGUGACCCUCCUCAGGCCCGCGCGAGGCCACUGCGGUGUUGGCACGGGAGGCCCUGCAUCUGUUCCUUUUAUUUGUUCUGUUAAAGAAAAAGGCCCAUUGAGGGUGCGCCGGGGGAUCCUAACCGCUGGUCACAGGGCGAUUAUUUAUUACGAGCCUUGAAUACCUUCCUGAUUGUAUAAGGUUUUAUUGUGUUUUUACAUGGAGGGCAGACUUGGGGAGUCAAUUUGGCAGCCGAGACAGGGGGAGAAAAAGGGCUUUCAGGGAUCAUUCUGGGAGUUAAAAGUUCACCUCGAGGCAGAGGUUCAGAGACUUGGUGCAAUUCUGGAGAUACCACCAGAAGCCUCUCGAAUCCCCAUUAGCGCUUAGCCCUCUGUGGAAAGUCAUAAAAAAAGACAAUUUCCCCCUUUCUCCUAACAAUAAUGUGACUUCCCCUCUAAGGCGCUCAACUGUUGGACUCCAGGAGGCCUGAGAGUGAAGGGGAAUCAGUUUCCAAAUUGCCGAGCUGUUCCUCCAGUAUCGUGGGUCCCGGUUGAGCGGGAGGAAGGGCACCUCGGGCUGGUUGGGGGUGAUGAUGCUGCAUAGAGAGGAGCCUCAUGUUCUCCAUCUGUGAAAAGUAGGGGUCUGGCCAGACCGGUUCUGGGAGGUUUGGUCUUUCCGGCUUGGAAAUGCCAUGAUUCCUUGGGCUUGUGCUUCAACUGCUGUGACGUUUCCGGCAACAUUGCUGAGGGUGACAGAACGGGUCAUUCUUGGGUUGUGUUGAGCAACCCAGGGCCUCAACACAGAGAGGAGCCUCUUUUCCCUGAUACACAAGCUUACGUAUGUGCCACAAACUUGAAUUCCACCCAGGUCUGCCCUGGCACACGGAGCCUCUGACCACCACCAGCAGCUCCCCACCACCCCUUCCUUCCCACUAGUUACUGAGUGCAGACAGUGUGACAGCCAGUAGAUGAAUGAUAUUAUUUCAAUUCAUCCUCACAAAAAUCUUAUUAUCACCUGCACUUGGGCUCAGAGAGGUUUUUGCAACUCAUCUAGGGUCUCACCCAUAGCAAGUAAUAGAGGGAAGCUUUAAACUCAGGUCAGAGAGAUACAAAUGCCAUCUCCCAACCUCCGGUGACCUGCCUCUGGGCAGAACAUGGGAAUCUCAGCACCUCCUUCUAGUUCUGGAGUCACCUCAGCUCUGGGAUUACUUAGCUCUGGGCUGACCUCAUUGUGGCCUUGGGCAAACCAUGCUCUGCUUCACCUUUCUGUACUGAAAAA
rnacentral:lncRNA from 1 species